rnacentral:rRNA from 1 species
GAUGAACGCUGGCGGCGUGCCUAAUACAUGCAAGUCGAGCGAACAGACGAGGAGCUUGCUCCUCUGACGUUAGCGGCGGACGGGUGAGUAACACGUGGAUAACCUACCUAUAUGACUGGGAUAACUUCGGGAAACCGGAGCUAAUACCGGAUAAUAUAUUGAACCGCAUGGUUCAAUAGUGAAAGACGGUUUUGCUGUCACUUAUAGAUGGAUCCGCGCCGCAUUAGCUAGUUGGUAAGGUAACGGCUUACCAAGGCGACGAUGCGUAGCCGACCUGAGAGGGUGAUCGGCCACACUGGAACUGAGACACGGUCCAGACUCCUACGGGAGGCAGCAGUAGGGAAUCUUCCGCAAUGGGCGAAAGCCUGACGGAGCAACGCCGCGUGAGUGAUGAAGGUCUUCGGAUCGUAAAACUCUGUUAUUAGGGAAGAACAAAUGUGUAAGUAACUAUGCACGUCUUGACGGUACCUAAUCAGAAAGCCACGGCUAACUACGUG